AAUGACUGUACCCGAAUAAGAAGGUCCGGCUAACUUCGUGCCAGCAGCCGCGGUAAUACGAAGGGACCUAGCGUAGUUCGGAAUUACUGGGCUUAAAGAGUUCGUAGGUGGUUAAAAAAGUUGAUGGUGAAAUCCCAAGGCUCAACCUUGGAACUGCCAUCAAAACUUUUUAGCUAGAGUGUGAUAGAGGAAAGUGGAAUUUCUAGUGUAGAGGUGAAAUUCGUAGAUAUUAGAAAGAACAUCAAAAGCGAAGGCAACUUUCUGGAUCAUUACUGACACUGAGGAACGAAAGCAUGGGUAGCGAAGAGGAUUAGAUACCCUCGUAGUCCAUGCCGUAAACGAUGUGUGCUAGACGUUGGAAACUUAGUUUUCAGUGUCGCAGCGAAAGCAUUAAGCACACCGCCUGGGGAGUACGGUCGCAAGAUUAAAACUCAAAUGAAUUGACGGGGGCCCGCACAAGCGGUGGAUUAUGUGGAUUAAUUCGAUGCAACGCGAAAAACCUUACCUGGCCUUGACAUGUAACGAACUUUCCAGAGAUGGAUUGGUGCUCGAAAGAGAGCGUUAACACAGGUGCUGCAUGGCUGUCGUCAGCUCGUGUCGUGAGAUGUUGGGUUAAGUCCCGCAACGAGCGCAACCCUUGUCAUUAAUUGCCAUCAUUUAGUUGGGCACUUUAAUGGGACUGCCGGUGACAAACCGGAGGAAGGUGGGGAUGACGUCAAGUCCUCAUGGCCCUUAUGGCCAGGGCUUCACACGUAAUACAAUGGUCGGUACAGAGGGUUGCCAAGCCGCGAGGUGGAGCCAAUCCCAGAAAGCCGAUCGUAGUCCGGAUUGUAGUCUGCAACUCGACUACAUGAAGUCGGAAUCGCUAGUAAUCGCGGAUCAGCAUGUCGCGGUGAAUACGUUCCCGGGCCUUGUACACACCGCCCGUCACACCAUGGGAGUGGGUUUUACCAGAAGUAGGUAGUCUAACCUUCGGGAGGACGCUUACCACGGUAGUAUUCAUGACUGGGGUGAAGUCGUAACAAGGUAACCGUA
rnacentral:rRNA from 1 species